UAAGACACAGAUGAAAACAUGCGUGCCCUGACUGACCUUUUAGAUGUUGUUGAUUGUCUGGGUCCAUAAAGGGAGGGUCACAGGGUCACCCCUACAUCAUCUGCUACUUUUCCCACAUUCCUCUUGAGGGGUGGGCUGUCCUGUCCUGAGGCAGCACAAACCCCCCUAAGUGUAUAAAACCUCCUGUUCUCCUCUUUGACUUUGUCAGAUCUUCCUGCUCCUUUUGGGGGAAGGAACCUCUGUCCCUUUUCAGCUGAAUUGUAGUCUUUUGACUUCUGUCUGUGCUUACGACUUGUGCUGAUGAUUUCUGUAUUCUUUAUCUUUUGCCUUUACUCUAGUUAGUAAUAAAUACUUAAUCACAAAGCAAGCUCAAGAUACUUUUGAUUUCUCACAUGGGCUAAAUCCACAAAUUUCCACCACAAACUUGGCGACGAGGAUGGGAUGGACGCGUGAUCUAGACUCUGACGGACGGACAGAAGGCCAUUUAGUAUAGGUGAUUCCUCCCUGAGGGUGAGAAGCUGCCGUCCCGACGAGACCCGGAUUGCCGAUCCAUCCAUUUCAAGAAAAGAAACGAACAACACGCGGUGAGAAAUCAAAAUUAUUUUUAAGGCAGACAGAGUCAUGACAAAAGGGUUUUAGGCCUAUCUCACAACGAGUGUGUUGUAGACAGACGUGUCUGGGUCACCUAUAGUAUUCGUCACAAGGUUGCAACAUCCUGUGUCUGAAGUUCACAGGCGCAACUUUGGAUCAAUGCAGUAGACUGAGUGACCAGAGAAAGCAACGGUCAACUGACUUGCCUUAGUUAUGCAUGUGGUAUUUCUCCGUUUGUGCGCACCUUUAUAGGCGCGUACACUCCUUGUAUACAGAUACAGAUAGCUAAAUGGGUAGUGUUCAGAGUAAAGGGGAGACGGGUGAUAACCAUGAGACUAAUAUCCUGCCACUAUUGUGUAAAUUUAUGUCAGAGCGUUAUCCUGGCAGUUUGAAUCAAAUACAAAAAUGGGUUGAAUUGGGGUUCCCUUUAAAGGGGAGUUUGAGUAAGAAUCAUUUGGAGCAGUUGGAAUUGCAACUUAGGGGGAAGGAGGAGAACGAUGCAGCUCAGCAUGCAGGCCGGUCGGGAAGAAAGCAGAAGAAGAAUGUGGUAUGUAAGGCAGAUUGGGAAGCUUUCAAGAUGUGGAAGUAUGAGUCGGAGAGAAGGGAGAGACAGAGGUUGGUAGCAUUUAAUUCAUUAAAGACCAAAGAUCCUACAAAAAGUUCUGAAACGUGUACCCCUUCUAACCCAAAAACACUUUAUCCUUGUUUUUAUGAGUUCCUGCGGAUAUUGGUGGACACGGAUCUGGACUCCCCCCCUCCCCUCACUGCUCCUCCAGCUCCCGCCUUCAUGAGCCCACAGUCUCCACGGCAGGAAGCAGCACAAACAACCUUUCCUCGGCUUGACAACAGCCCACCAGGAGGGAAGCCAGAUUCAACCUCAAACACCAGCCAGACGACCUUUUCACCUACUGUGACCCACUCGCAGGCUCAACAAAGGUGGGCCUUGCUCGUUGUUCGAUCCUGCAGCUUCUUUUCCAGUCGAGGGGGUGCAAGGGCCGAUGCUGGUUCUCAGACCCUGGUCAGAUGCCGAUGUGACGAAGGCAAUGAGCCACGUCUGCAGUCCCAAGGACAAUAUUGCUAAGUUGGAGACUGAUUUUCAGCAAUUUGUCAGAAAAUACCAUCCUAGCAUGUCAGAGCUGCGGCGUCUGAUGUGCAGACUUCUGACACAUGACUAUCACAAAGUUCAGAGUGUGUUCAACACCACAAGAAUGGCUGCUCGCCUUAAAGAUCCGGAUUGUGAGCACGGCACAGAUGUGGACAUUAGAAGUGCUGUAGAUGCUCUCAUUGUGUUGGUAAAAGAACAAUUUCCUCUGAGACUGAACCUCCCCACCGUCACCUCUAUGACACAAGGGCCACAAGAAACAUGCAGCUCCUUCCUGGCACGCCUGACGACAGCUUUUGACACCCACAGUGGCCUUAAGCGACCUGAUCCAAUGGGGGCACAGCCCCUGAUGCCAUAUGAAGUCCCUCUGAAAGAACAUUUUAUAAGCAGAAUGAGACCUGAGCUUAUACGGAUGGUGAAGAGAUCAUGUGUAACCUGGAAAACCUGUGCUCUUGCAGACAUCCUUCAGCACGCUGAACACGCUGAAGAUGAGUUACACAAGAAAGAGGACAAACUAAAAGGUUUUGAACAGGCUCAGUAUGCAAUGUUUACGUGCUUGCAGUGCCAACAAUUUGCCCAAGGCCAACGUGGAAGAGGAAGAGGUUAUGGAAGAGAUCGUGGCAGAGGCAGAUCGGACUUACGGGAGUUAUGAUCCAAACGUGUGUUACAAUUGUGGACAACAAGGACAUUGGCGAGCAGAGUGUCCUGAGCACAUGAGGAUGAGACACAUCACACGUCUGACUGAGGAAGGCAGAGGGAGGGGCGGACCCCAGAGCCGGAGCACCCCAUCACGGAGGAGAAAGUAACACACCCUACACACACUCAUAAACGGAACAAAUAGCUAACACAACUGCACACACACACAUCUUAGAUUGCAUGUCGAGUCAUAUUCAGAAAUUCCCAUAAUUAACGUUGACGAUUUCUUGCUAUCCGGUAACACUUGUAGUUGACUCAAGAGCAUUUGGCAUUGUGUUUGAGCUCAACAUCAGAUGGCACACACGAAAAAAAGAAGAAAAAAAAAGACUAAAUUGCAAUUAUUUUAGAUGUUCAACUACAGUCCAAAAACCCUCCUGUAUGUAUAUGGAUGAAAACUACUGGCAUACCUUGAUGCAUUAAUUACUCAUGACCGUGUACAAAUUGCGCAUACACACACGGUAGAAGAUUACAUGCAUGAACAGUCAUUACAUUGCACAUCCUGUGUAAGCACAGGGCGAGAUAGAAGGUAUGCGGAGGUACAGCAUGACCAAAAGUUGGAGAAAGAGAGAUUAUGGUUGAAGUAUGUGUAUUGGUCAGAGGAGGCUGCUGCGGUGUCUGUAUCUCUCUCUCCUUCCCAAAGAAAAAAAAAAAAUGUGUUCCUCGAUUCUACUCCACAUUUCAUUGGCUAAACCAUCUCACUGGGAUACAGGAUCUUGGUCCAUGGUUGCAUGGGUGUGUCUCGGCCUAAAGUUCAGACCGGGUGCAGAGGAUCCUCAUGAAGAGUAUAGCGCUAGUGGUAAUGUAGAUCGCACUACGUUGAUCACACGAGUAAGUGUACACAGAACAGUAGAGCUCGUUGAGGAAUGCACACAACACGCAGACUUGUAUAGCCUCCCAAACAAGAAGACAUAAGUUGGUUUGUUUUUUUUCUUUAUUGGGCGCGGCUAUAAAUGGAUAGGAUGUCCAGUGGGUAACCACGAAAGUCAGGUGUAUUCCACAGAAGCGCUUAGGAACAUCUACAUAAUUUAUAACUCCCUGCAGGGUCGGCCCAUCUAAAUUAUGUGGCUGAUAUGAUGAUUUGCAGCCCAUCAAAAGAGGCUUGUAAAAUUGACACAAUUUGGCUACUUAAACAUUUGGCAGAGAACAGACAUAAGGCUUGCCUACGAAAAACUUAAAUUUGCUCUAGAACAAGUGACUUAUCUGGGACAUGUGAUCACAGCUGAGGGCAAAAUCCCUCUCUCCCAAACGUAUUGGGGCAAUUCAAUUGGUACCAAAAACAAAAAAAAACAAAAAAAAAGCGAAUGAUGAGUUUUUUGGGGAUGACUUCAUACUGUAGACAGUGGAUCCCUAUUUAUUCAGAAAGAGAGGCACCUCUCUCAUUCAUGGUCCACGGUAAAGGCCUCAGCGCGCAUGACAAACUGACUUGGACUACUGAAGCUGAAAAGGCUUUUCAGGACUUAAAGACUUCCUUAUCACAGGCCCCGACUCUGGGCCUGCUGAGACCCGACUUACCGUAGACUCACUUCAUAGACCAGAAGGACUGUUACAUGACAUCAGUUUUGUGUCAUCUUCAUGGAGGACAACUUAGGCCUGUUGCCUACUUCUCCUCAACACUUGACCCUGUUGCUUCGGGUUUUCCUCUCUGUUUGCGAGCAGUGGCAGCAGCCGAGAGAGACAUUUUAGCAUCAUGUGACAUUGCGGGCUUCUGUGAUGUCCCACUCAUGGUCCCUCUUACUGUCUCUCAUAUCUUAUAUGCCCAGAAGACUUCUCACCUCUCUGCUCAGAGAUGGUUCAGGUAUCCUACAACUUAAUGUAAUUGUCAAAUGAUGCAAUGUCCUUAACCCAUCUACACCUCUUCCAACUGCAGAUGACAGAGAGCUUCAUGACUGUGUCGAAGUCUUGCAGCAGACAUGCAUACCAAGGCCUGAUCUGUUGGACACACCUCUUCCCAAUGCAGAUCUUGAGCUGUUUGUAGACGGCUCCGCUUCUCGCUCACCAGACACGGGCAGCGGUCAGGUUGGGUUGUCAGUGGUUACAUCACACAGCACACUUGUUAGUGGCAGGCUUCCUUCACACUUCUCAGCACAGACGGUAGAGUUUGAUUGCACUUGCCGAGGCAGGUAAGGCAGCUGAAGGAAACAGGGGCGCGGAUGCGGCUGCGAAGAAGGCAGCCUCGCAGGGCUUCCUUUUCCCCCUGGCUCAAAUGCUUUCCACACCGACCGAUCCUAGUCCUUAUGCCGAUCUUUCAACACUUCGGCCUCUUGCCGGUGCACAGGAGCGUUCCCUGUGGCAACGAUCUGGUGACAUUCUUGAGGGCGGAAUCUACACAGGGCCGGACAGUAGGCCCUGUUUGCCACGUGCUCUCUUCCACAUUUUUGCUAAGUUGUCUCACGGAAAAGAUCACGUGGGCAAAGGGGGGAUGUGCACUGCUAUAAAUGAGCAUGCUGAGAUAUUGUGCUAACCUCUCCCCCUCACUGUCAGCACUGCACUGGGCAGGUAAAAGCGGCGCUUCCAUCCCCGGCUACUGCAGUCCAGCACCACCUGAAACCAGGAGACUGGGUCCUCAUUAAGGAUCACUGGAGGAAGCACUGGAAGCAGAGACGCUACACGGGGCCCUUCCAAGUACCCCUGACCACGGAGACGGCAGUAAGGUGGAAGGGAAAGCAACGUGGGUCCACGCCAGCCACUGCAAACGCAUCCCGGAUCCAGGAGGCGAAGGAGCACCUACAUCUGGUUCCGGUUAAGGGGUUGCAGAGUGGAGAGCCCUCCCCCACUGCAGGGUUCCAGGACACCAACGAGCCCGGUAGAGACGGCAGAGACGGCAGAGACGGCAGAGACGGCAGGGACGGCAGCCACCCGGAGAACAGCGAUAAAAGACAGAUCUCCAGCGCCAAAGAACACUCAGGAAGCAUGGUUGGAGCCUGAGAAUGAACAUGUGCAUAUCACUGAAGCUGGCCACAUUUGUGCUGAUUCCCCUCACGAUCAAUGAACUACAACCUCCUUAUGUGAACAUCACGGAUUCCAGCCUUCUCCACCUCUUCAAUAGAGAAUUUCAGGAAGUUUCCACUGUCCAGCAAAACAAUGCGACGAGACAGACUGUUUGCUCUACACAAUCGAACAUGAUGCAUGGGUUAAAAUAGAAAGUCACGUAAAUGAAAUUGUGUGUGUUGCCGGGUUGGGAGAAGAAUAUGUACUGUGUGGGUGCACGGAAGAUUUGGUUUAGGAGAUCCACCAUUCUGGUGCAGUAAACCACGAUCGUGUCAGGAGAUACCAGCCCACACUGGCUCCAGCAACUGGAGGGAGACGUGCCAAAGAACUUACCGGCCUGUCAGCGAGACACAGCCUAAAACAGUACCACCUGAAAUCAUUUACGAGGCUGUUAAACCACAGGCCCUGACCUCCCGCAGGCCAGAACAGCCCCCACCAAAGCAACUUGGAGGCGAGGGUUGAUCUCUCUCAAUUGUCCGAGAGGGGGGACUGAGAAGGAGGGUUGUAAAGUUUACAUGUCACGGCUGAGCUCGCCGCACUUAGGUCGCUGGUCAGUCCUGGACUCGGAGGAUUUUAGGACUCAGACAAACGACACUUGCACGGUGACUCUAAGCCCUAAAUAUGACACGAGUGGGGAAUACCGUUCUGGUGCGCUCAACCUGCAGACUGUACAACAGAACCAGCCCAUUUCACUCGGCUAGAUUGGCAGUAUGCGUGCAAGUAAGCCUAACGUUAAGAACUUCCAAACCGUACACCACCGUACAAGCAUGAUAAUAUUGCGUUGACUAUUAUGAAGGAUUUUGCUAACAAAAGGAAUGUCUAAUUGUUGGAUAUGUCAGCAUAUGCCCAUUUCAUCUAGAGCACCUAUGCUGGUUCCUGUUUCAUUCACGGAAGCCGACUGGGAUGUCAUGGGGUGGCCUGAGCUAUCUCAUCGAUUUGUGAGUAAUGAUGAAGACUGUUACACUCCUCCACCGCACACGGCGACAACAGCGCAAAGCACAGUUGCCUAUGAAGGUGAAAAGGGGGAAGUUGUACGUUUUGCAGUUAAGCGGUUCAAUCAUGAAAAUAGACCUAUAGAUAUUAAUUAAUUAAUUAUAGGUAUUAAUUUAAUAAUAUUAAAGUGAUGUUGGUUAGAUUCCGGUCCAUCCCUUAACCAACGUUAUCACUUCCUAGGUAGUUCCUCUCUAGGUACGAGUGACUGUAGUAAAUUACAUCAAACACAUGGUACUACAAAAUAGGAUGGCUCUGGACCUCGUUGUGGCUGCACAAGGCUUGGUAUGCAAAGCGAUUCAUACUGUAUGUUGCGCUUACAUCUCCGAUGCAACAUCAUCAGUUUAUGAUGUGGUGGCAGACACAGAACGGGGCAGUAAGGAAUUGCACGACCACGACUGGAAUCCGUUUGGGGAAAUACAGGCAUUUGUUGGAUCAUAGGGACCUUCUCUCUUCAAGGAACUGCUAUGGGAAUUAGGGGGCAUCAAUCUGUCUGUAAUUGUUAUAACCCUAAUUGUAACUGUUUUAAAGCUCUUGUAAGGAAGGUUGUUAGCACUCAUGUAUCAGUUGAACACACAAGUACUACUAUACGGUGUCCGGUUCAGAAAUGGACUCCAUAUCCAUACACCAUAUCUGGAUAGCUCUGACAGUGAUGAUGAGUGUGAGGAUUGUGUGUAACUAGACAGCAUGUAUGGUGUUAAUGUUUAGCAAGAGUUUUCAAAGUACUUAGAAGUUAAUGAUGUGAUGUUCUGAAUCUUCGUGAAUUUACACCACUGAUGUAUGCUCUAAGAGUUUUUUUUGUUGUUUAAUUUUCUUUCUUAAUUUCGUUUUGGUUGUUGUUUAGAGUUUCUUAAGUUGAUUCCUGAUUGUCAAAAAAUGACAAAAAGAGAGGGAUGUUGGGGGAAAAUUGUUGAGCCUGCGUGGGGUGAGGCUCUCAGGAAUGUGACCUUUGAUGUGAGCCGGUGACUUAAGGCAGUCCAGGGUGAGAUAAGACACAGAUGAAAACAUACGUGCCCUGACUGACCUUUUAGAUGUUGUUGAUUGUCUGGGUCCAUAAAGGGAGGGUCACAGGGUCACCCCUACAUCAUCUGCUACUUUUCCCACAUUCCUCUUGAGGGGUGGGCUGUCCUGAGGCAGCACAAACCCCCCUAAGUGUAUAAAACCUCCUGUUCUCCUCUUUGACUUUGUCAGAUCUUCCUGCUCCUUUUGGGGGAAGGAACAUCUGUCCCUUUUCAGCUGAAUUGUAGUCACUUGACUCCUGUCUGUGCUUACGACUUGUGCUGAUGAUUUCUAUAUUCUUUAUCUUUUGCCUUUACUCUAGUUAGUAAUAAAUACUUAAUCACAAAGCAAGCUCAAGAUACUUUUGAUUUCUCACAUGGGCGAAAUCCACAAAUUUCCACCACAGCCUCCACCAGUGAACUCGAGAACAAUGGUUCCUACAGGUAUUUAUAACAAUGCUUAAAGGUGUGAAAGUCAGUGUCCACACCUCUGGGAGUGGUCUUCUGGUGAGUUCAAUGUAACUCGGAUUUCGAAUGAUCCUUAGUCAAUAUCAGUUGUUGUGCAAGUAUUACAUGCAUGCAUUCCAGUUGAUUACAUUACAUCAAAUACAAUCAUAACUGCAUUGGUAUUAUUCUAUUACAGUUGCAGAUUUACAGUGGUUUUACAAUAUUGUCAUUACUUUAUUGAUUACACAGUUUCAGAAUCAUGGCUGUAUUCUGGUGUACACUAUAUGUAUUUUUAUUAAUUUUAUGAACCGGGUCGUAUAUUUGUUUCUAAUAUCCUACAGUACAGUCUUGAAGCCCAUGGUACAGUAGUGAGCACUUUGAAACAAUAAGGCCAAAAUGUGGUUGAACAGAGCUUUCCCAGCAGAGCAGGUACAUGACAUGCAUUUCAGGACCACAGGAACCUCUUUAGCAUGAAAUGUAACCUGUUAAAAGAAACAUGAAAAUAAGUCUCCGGCUCAACAAUUUUACAUUUCAUUGGAGUAAUUGAACAAACCUGUAAACCAGGUCUAUGAACUUUGAACACCUAAUUUAUUUUAACAUCACACAGCAUAUUUCUCAGCCUUUAUUGUCCUCAAAAAACCCUCUUCUGUUUUUAAAUGUCUGUCUAAAUGUUCUGCGUUGUUUCUGAUAUUGAUGAUAAAUUAUGUCUUUUGAGU
ensembl:lncRNA